UCUAUCAAAAGAUUGAAACUUUUUGCUUAAUUUGACAAACCCAAAACAGAAAACAAUUCCUUUACGUUCCUAUAUACAUGAAUUGUUCAUAAGAAAAAUUUGACCAUUUUUUAUGUUAUCAUAUAUGAUUUGGAGAGAAAAAAGGAAAGAUGAAAAAGUUUCAAUCCUAACCUUUGUGAUUAUAUAAAGGGAAAAAAACAAAAGGCACGGGUGGCUAUUUUGUUUUUGCUAUUUUUGUUGUACAAUAGAAAAGAGAAGCACACAUUUAAAGUUUAAACAAUCUCACUUUUAUUUUGAUGAUUGAUAUAGAUACAUGUGUGGAA
rnacentral:lncRNA from 1 species